rnacentral:rRNA from 1 species
UACGUAGGGUGCGAGCGUUAAUCGGAAUUACUGGGCGUAAAGCGUGCGCAGGCGGUGAUGUAAGACAGAUGUGAAAUCCCCGGGCUCAACCUGGGAACUGCAUUUGUGACUGCACCGCUGGAGUGCGGCAGAGGGGGGAUGGAAUUCCGCGUGUAGCAGUGAAAUGCGUAGAUAUGCGGAGGAACACCGAUGGCGAAGGCAAUCCCCUGGGCCUGCACUGACGCUCAUGCACGAAAGCGUGGGGGAGCAAACAGG